rfam:Pedobacter africanus strain DSM 12126 genome assembly, contig: Ga0070588_102
CUGGCGGAACCCGAAAAGCCUACACAGAGUAGGGA